rnacentral:rRNA from 1 species
CGGGGUGAGUAAUGUCUGGGAAACUGCCUGAUGGAGGGGGAUAACUGCUGGAAACGGUAGCUAGUACCGCAUAACGUCGCAAGACCAAAGAGGGGGACCUUCGGGCCUCUUGCCAUCGGAUGUGCCCAGAUGGGAUUAGCUAGUAGGUGGGGUAACGGCUCACCUAGGCGACGAUCCCUAGCUGGUCUGAGAGGAUGGCCAGCCACACUGGAACUGAGACACGGUCCAG